rnacentral:tRNA from 1 species
GGAGGGUAUAGCUCAGUGGUAAGAGUGUGUGCUUAGCAUGCACAAGGUCCUGGGUUCAAUGCCCAGUACCUCCA